AGGCAAAAUGGCAGUUAAACUGGUUUCCGACUUUCCUCUGGAACGCUCGACUGCUUAAGAGAAAAAUGCCUCAAAUGAGCAUGUGCACAACUCCAGCAAACACGCUGGACAUGCGGCCUCUCCCAAGUGCUGGCAGGCCACUGCACAUGUGGACCCACGGGAAGAAUCAGGAGAGAAGAAAUGCAAACCCCAGAGUCAUGCCAAGAUGUAAUGGUGAAGUUGAGAUGAUGAUCAGAGUCUUACUUCAGACAAAUCAUGAGUCUCAGAGGAAGUGAUGACAGAGAUGUCUGUGGAAACUAUUGAAGAGGAAGGCUUUGCUAAAUCUUCAUGGAGAGAGUCCUUUCUAUGGAGGAGACAUUAUGCUAGAAUUUUCACACAGAUUAUUUUAUUUAACUCCAAGAACUACUCCAUGAAAUAGGCAUGAUCAUCACCUUCAUUGUUUACAGAGAUUCUGGCUUCCCCACUGUAAGAACUGAAGAUACUGCAGCUGAAUUGAUGUCAUGAAAAGGCCUUCAUUCAAUUAGAGUGGGUAUCUUGUGUGGUCUCUAUUUAAUAACUUCCACUUUUGUACAUUUCAAUUUCUGUACGUGCUCUGAGAUAAACAGCCAGAGUCUUUAAGCAAGAGAGACAACAACUAAAAACAACAAUGAAAACUUAGUUACAGCUACAGCGAUAUAUAGGUCUUUAUAAAAGUAGCAGUUCCAUUGUGAAGGCGGUGAUAAAUGUAAAACCAUAAAUUCUGGAAAUAGUCGUAGUAAAUAGAUAGAAACAAGAGUGGUUCACAGAUAAGGAUAUGAAGCAUACUCACUGUAUUUUACCAAAAAUGAUGUUCCUAUAUUUUGUAGACCAGAGAGCCUUUUUAAAGGAAACAAAUUCAUAACCAAAUACCAUCUAGAAUUACCUCUAUUAAUAAAUUGUCAAUGUAAUAUUUUAAUUAAAACAUAUAUCACGUAUUUUCUUCUCUGUAUAAUUUUAUAAAAUAUCUAUGAUAAGAAAGAAAAUAAUGGAAUGCAUUUUCUUUAACAUAUUAUCCUACAUUAUACUCUUUCUAAUCUCUAGAGAC
rnacentral:lncRNA from 1 species